GCCUUGAUGGCCAUAUGUCAUUUUGCCAUUUUCCUUUGACUUCAUGUGUAUUGUAGGGUUACAUGAUAGUAUUCCUGUCGUCACACGGUUCUCUAGAGGCUCUUGCUCACUCUAAUCAUCCUGACUUUGGCUCUAUAGACUGAUGUUCUCUCCAAUUUAGUUGUCGUGUCUGAUCACUUCUGAAUUUUUCUCGUCUCAAACCUUUUCGCUGAAAUUUUUAGGCAUUAAAGCUCAAACGAACUUGAAAGAUAUCAAGGUGGUUACAUAAAUUAACCACUUUCUCAAUUUUGAAAGCUACCUCAUUUCAACAAUUUGUAUCUCUUUAUAAUAUUUCUUCUGCAGAUUCACAUUGCCUCCAUUUCUAACACUCAAGAACUUUGAGGGCUUGGACCUUGGAAAGAUGGACAAGGCUGAUGAUUCUGGUCUGGCAUCAUAUGUUGCUGGGCAAAUUGACAGAUCUCUGAGCUAGAAGUGUUUCAGGAGGCAAUGCAGGAAUUAUGGCUACUCCCUACUUGCUCUCGCAUGAUGGAAUAGAGCUCCAGUUUGCAACAAAUCAUAUUGGUCAUUUUCUUCUAACAAAUCUUUUGUUGGAGAACAUGAAGGAUACAUCCCGUAAAAGUAAUACUGAAGAAGGAUUGUCAUUCUUUCAUCAGAGGGCAACAGAAUGACCUGCCCCUGUGGGAUUCGUUUUGAUAAAAUCAAUGAAGAGAAGGGAUAUGUCAAUUAUCUUUUAAGAAUUUUAGCAGAUAUUUGGCACUGGAGCUUAAAUUUCAGUUCCUGCUUACGCUCAGAAUGAUGAGGAAGAAGGUGAAGAAUGAGAAGAAGAGGGCAUGAGUAAAUGUACAGGAAAGGAGUUGAAGAAGCUUUUGCAGUGUCAUAGCCAUUGUAAAUAAUUUAUGUAAAAGUUUGUAAAUAAUUUAUGUAUCUCUCUACUAUUUUGGUGAAUGUAUUAUUUGAAUAUAAUGAAAUUUGAU